UGUUAAAAAUGUUAAAAAAUAUUAAAAAUUAGUAAUAUAUAAAUAAAUUAAUAUAUUUUUAAUUAGAAUAAUAAAAAUGUAAUGUGAAAUAUUUUAAUUUUUCGCGCGAUUUCGAUUAUCGAAUUGGCUUAGAACAAUCAGCCAAUCAGAAAACGCCAAUUCGAAUUGUAGUAGAUGUCGUCAGUCUCCUGUGGAAAAUCAUCAUAAUAGGAUGUAUGAUCGCAAUCGGUCUCGCUAAUUCAACUGCGCAUUAUUUUCAGAUUAAUAAUCCAACUUCAAAGACGGAAAGAAUUCCAAUAUGGACGUCAAUCGUACUUUUUCAAAAAGAAGAAAUUUUUUGAUUUUUCGCUCUUGUACUGUAUGUAUUUGUUCUAUUUUUAUUUGAUAUUUUAAUUCUAUAUUUAUGUGAUUUAUACUAUAUUAUUUCAACAUAUAUUUAUACUUUUAUAAUGAACAUUCACGACAAAUAUCAAUACUUAUGUUUGUACAGUAAUUUAAAAAUAUAUAUUCAAUCUUUUUAUACAUAUAUGAAAUUUUUUUAUUCGUGAAAAAUUAGUAACGAGUCUUAAAUAAAAAAAGGGUAAUAUUUUCUGAAACAAAUAUUUGAUAAGAAAAAGGAGGAAAAUCUAAAGAGAUCAAUUUACUUCUUUUUCUAUAGACCUUCCAUUAUUAUUAUUACAACUUUAUUUUCAGAGAAUUUUUGUGACCGCGCGCAAUGCGGUUGAUAGAUUCAGUGUUUGCUUCGUAAUAGUUUUUUUAAUAUUUUAAAAUAGUUGUAAUUAAAUUUACUUGAUAUGAUAAUCGCGAAAUUAGAGUCAGUGCUUGUUCGCCGAUUGUAAAUUAAACGAACGCGUUAGUAGUUUUUUAUUUGUUUUAUUUUCUUUUUUUUAAAUAAUAUUUGUUUUCGGUAUAAGAUAGAGUCAGUGCUCAAGAGAAUAAGGCGGUCAUCCAUCACGCGAAGAGUUUCCAUUUUCUCACACUUGAUGACUACUCGACAAUCCUGUAGGAGGCCAUAAUUCUUCGCAUCUAUUGGUGAGUCGCAUGCAUUUAUGUUCCUCCGGUCACUCAAUCAUGUCGU